AAUACAGUCGAUAGAAGUAUUACGACACUCGGCUUGGCGUACGUGCUAGUUUCCUGUCAGCCAUACUGAGAUUCUUAUCAUUAUUAACAUGGCGGCAAUGAGAAGGGUAUGCUGGACUUUCUGCAACACAGUUGUCCCUCGCCGGACUUUCACUACAGGAACGGCCCUCCGCUGCCACCCCCCGGGGAUUCCUAACGACACGGUGCCCUUCCUGACUGGAAAGGAAAAGGUCAACAAAGUUUCAAUCGCAUUCGUUUAUAUUUUGUUUUGUGGUUCUGGACUCAUGUGGCCGGUCAUGGCAGCGCGGGAUCAGAGCAUCAGGAUCGGUGCUGCCAUAUCGGAUGACAGCUAAGACCGCCUGGAGCAGAUCCGACUAGUGGCCUUAACUGACAGGCAGCCAGAAAGACCGGAUAUUUUAUAACCGAUGGGACUCUUCUUCAUUGUUUUAUUGUGAACUAUUUGAGUGGUAAAUAAAUGAUUUGAAACGUU